GAUGAAGAACGUAGUGAAAUGCGAUACGUAGUGUGAAUUGCAGAAUUCAGUGAAUCAACGAAUCUUUGAACGCACAUUGCACCUCUCGGUAUUCCGGGAGGUAUGCCUGUUCGAGCGUCAUUUGUACCCUCAAGCUCUGCUUGGUGUUGGGUGUUUGUUCCGCCUCUGUGUGUGAACUCGCCUCAAAACAAUUGGCAGCCGGCGUACUUGUUUCGGAGCGCAGCACAUUUUGCGAUCCAGAUCAACGUACAGCGGCAUCCAAGAAGCCUUAUUUAACGCUCUUGACCUCGGAUCAGGUAGGGAUACCCGCUGAACUUAAGCAUAUCAAUAAGCGGAGGA
rnacentral:misc_RNA from 1 species